rnacentral:lncRNA from 1 species
GUUUCUUGGCUUGGGAGGGCAUUUAAUAACUCCCGACUGCGGGAGGCGGCUGGGGAGCGGGCUGGCAGCACCGGCCGGGGCGGUGAGCAGAGCUCCCGUGCCUCCCGGAGCCCCCAUCCAGGGCCGGCGGCGCUUCGGAGCCUUCCUGGAAGAAGUCGAUUUGUUCCCGUACCUGAAGCAGGUGAUGUUUAUGCAGAGACAUCUGAAUGACAGCAGGAGUGAAGGACAAAUCUAAUAAAGCCUAAUAAACCGUGAGAGUCUAAAUGUCAUUAAACUUACAAAGAUGAGACUCCAAAUCACCAAAAAGAGAGGAGACCUCUGAGGGAGAGAGGAGAGUGGUUCGGAGGAGAGGACGAAUGGAUUCCUGAGGGAAACAUCUCAUGGUGCUCUUUGGUGGACCAAGAAGUGGACCUUCCAGUGGGCGUCCUGGGGAGGAGAGGAGCGGUGUCGGUCUGCAUUCUCCCAUGACAAAGGGGAACUGCUCGUUUAUUUGCCCUCUCCGGGGAGGGAAUAAACCCGAGGAGGUGACGCUUUGUGCUGAGCCACUGGUCUGUCCAUGCACUCAGAGCUCUGGCACUCAGACAGGCCGAGGCAGCAGCCAAGCAGCCCCUGCCCUCUGCACCCACACCUCGUGAAGGUCUCUACGGUCUCCCCGUGUGUUCCUUCCAUAGGGAAUUCCACGCAACGUUGCCACUCUUUCUCCUGGUAAAUGUCCCCAGGAGCCUCGAGUAAAACAGCACCCCGAGGAGAAGGGCACGAAGCUCAUGGCAUGCAAACUCAUGGCUUUUUUUCCAAGCCACCCAGUAGACAAUGAGCGAUGGGGCAGGGUUGUGUAAAAGCCCCGCAUUCCCCAGAACGGGCUCUGUGUCUUUGUCUUUACAUAAAACUGUGCCCUUUGGCCAAACGCGCCUGUAACGAGCUUGUAAAACAAACCAGAAAUCUCAGCUCUUCCUCAAGUCUACAAGAGAGUCUCUUUAUUCCCAAAUCUUGCAAAUAUGUUGGGAGUGUUAGAAGUGGGACUAAAAAGCCCCCCUAGCAGAGAUGGUUACCUGCUGUGACCCUCCCUGCCACAGUCCCCUUCAGCAGACAUAUUAAAUCCCUUACCCGAAGAAAACAGGCACUUGUCACAAUUGAAGCCUGACGUACUGGGACGGCGGGAUGUCACCAUUUAGGGGACUUUACAUUUUCCCCGCAGGCCCUUCUUGAGCGGAUGUCCCUCACACGCCUCCACUAGAGGCCUGCAGGGACAGAGCUGCCCCGAUCUGAGCGUUCCUGAGUUCCUCCUCCAGAGAUGUCCCCCCUCUUGAGAUGUCCAGCUCGCUGUCUUCCCUGCCCAGCCCCAGCACCUCUCCCCUUGCCUUGCGGUCGGUUAUUUACGGAGGAUCCGAGGAAGCGGCAGGUGGAUCCCCCCCAAAACCCCUUCGUGACGCCACCCCCCAGCCCGCCCCGUCGGUUCCCCCCGACGGAAGGUGCCAGGCCGAGCCCCCGGCAGCGGGGAGCGGUGCCUCCAGCCGGCCCCCGCCCUCCGACAGCACUCUGCCAUUCUUUCCCAGCUCUGAAGUAUGCGUUUUAUUAUAGAUUGUUUAAUUGGAUGAGCAACAUUCCCACCGCCCUGAGCACAGGCUAAGUGGAAAAAGGUUUACUUGGCAUCGCGAACCAAUUUCAGUUUAAAAAAAAAAAACAAAACAAAACAAAAACCCAAAAACCAACGACAGGCACACAAGCGAAGAAGCUCUCCACAUAUCGCCUGGGGGCUAAGCGAGCUUCCAAGGACCUGAGUCGUAAGGUUUCCCACCCAAAGCGGCCCUCAGCUCUUUUCUAACAGGGAGUCAGAAAGAAGGGGUGUCCGCUGUCCCCCAGCAUCUGGGCAGCCCCCCUCCCCCCCCCCAACCCCCGCUGCUUGCCAGCAUCUUGACUAACAACCGGCGAUUGCUGAGCACUGGAGAAAUGUCCCACGUAGCCGAAGUUCAGUAUCUGUCAGGCGACGGAACGACGGCAAGAUUCAUUUUUAGGGCGUGAAUGGUUUCUUAGCCCACUCGCGGCUUUGUAACUUCCAACGAAAAGGCAGGGAAAAAAGGCAGGCGCGGCCGCAGGCGCGGCUCGGAGGAGCCCACCGAUCGCUCAGUCAUAAAAGUGUACAAUGGAGGGACUUUAUUGUCCCUCGUUAAGCGCUUCAUAAGUGACCCCGUUUAUUUCUGAAUAGCCGUGUUUUGAUGACUUAUAGUAUAUGCAAAAACAAACUUUCCCGCGGUGGGUUUUUUUUUUUUUUUCCUCCGUCAUGCUUUUCUUUUCAAACAGCCAGAUGAUUUUAAAAAGAAAAACACCCAGAAAUGAUAAAUCGCGUCGCAUAGCUAAUGGCUGGAGGGCGCGUUUACCAAUUCAUAAUCAUUUAUUCUUGGUGAUGUAUGACCCUUACUCUUAAAUCUCAAAAGCUUCUAUUUGAAGGUGUAAAUAGCUUUUUCCCCCCUUGCAGUAAACCUUACUGCAUUAGCAGUGAUUGAUCUCCUGUACAAUUCGUCCCAGAGUGCUAUUUUAGAGGGGGAACACUGGCUUUUGGAGAUUAACUGGGGAGUCUGUUACAUAUUAAUGAACCUAGGAGAUAUACUAACGUUUUGGUAAUUUAGUUAUUUGUGUCUAUAGCUUUCGCCGUUAUUUUCUCUUAGACCCCCGCGGUUGUUAUACAUCGAAUUAAAAAGUGGUCCUUCAGCAUCAUUUUUUCAGUGGCAACUAAACGCCAUUUAAUGUGAAAAACAAAUGUUGACUUGUCUCUUGAAGGAAGUGUGUUUCUUGGCAAGACAUCAAAGUGUUUUAAACUGUAUUAGAAGGGUUUGUUAGUUUUCUUACCCGGAGCCUACGGUAAUGUCAGAAAAUAGGCUCCCGGUGGAGGCGGCCGUCGGAGGGGGGAGCGGGUGCUGCGCGGCUCCGCGCAAAGGUGCGCGCUCGGGAGGCGGUUUGAGCCGCAGCACAAACGCACGGGCACCUCUUCGCCGGGAUUACAGCCUUGAUUAGCGUGCUAAUGAAUGGGGAUGUUAAAGAGCCGCCCGGAAACCCGUCUGUGAGAAGG